GAUGAACGCUGGCGGCGUGCCUAAUACAUGCAAGUCGAGCGAACGGACGAGAAGCUUGCUUCUCUGAUGUUAGCGGCGGACGGGUGAGUAACACGUGGAUAACCUACCUAUAAGACUGGGAUAACUUCGGGAAACCGGAGCUAAUACCGGAUGAUAUUUUGAACCGCAUGGUUCAAAAGUGAAAGACGGUCUUGCUGUCACUUAUAGAUGGAUCCGCGCUGCAUUAGCUAGUUGGUAAGGUAACGGCUUACCAAGGCAACGAUGCAUAGCUGACCUGAGAGGGGGAUCGGCCACCCUGGAACUGAGACACGGUCCAGACUCCUACGGGAGGCAGCAGUAGGGAAUCUUCCGCAAUGGGCGAAAGCCUGACGGAGCAACGCCGCGUGAGUGAUGAAGGUCUUCGGAUCGUAAAACUCUGUUAUUAGGGAAGAACAUAUGUGUAAGUAACUGUGCACAUCUUGACGGUACCUAAUCAGAAAGCCACGGCUAACUACGUG
rnacentral:rRNA from 1 species